CCUACGGGCGGCAGCAGUGGGGAAUUUUGGACAAUGGGCGCAAGCCUGAUCCAGCCAUGCCGCGUGCGGGAAGAAGGCCUUCGGGUUGUAAACCGCUUUUGUCAGGGAAGAAACGGUCUGGGUUAAUACCCUGGGCUAAUGACGGUACCUGAAGAAUAAGCACCGGCUAACUACGUGCCAGCAGCCGCGGUAAUACGUAGGGUGCGAGCGUUAAUCGGAAUUACUGGGCGUAAAGCGUGCGCAGGCGGUUAUGCAAGACAGAUGUGAAAUCCCCGGGCUCAACCUGGGAACUGCAUUUGUGACUGCAUAGCUAGAGUACGGUAGAGGGGGAUGGAAUUCCGCGUGUAGCAGUGAAAUGCGUAGAUAUGCGGAGGAACACCGAUGGCGAAGGCAAUCCCCUGGACCUGUACUGACGCUCAUGCACGAAAGCGUGGGGAGCAAACAGGAUUAGAUACCCAUGUAGUC
rnacentral:rRNA from 1 species